UUGCGAUUUAAGCAGUCAUGUGAUUUUAAUACUUCACAAGCAGUUGCAGCUUCAAAAGCAGUUGCUUUUUAAAUAGUAAAUAGAAAAAAAUCUGGUUAUUAUACUGGGCUCUGAUCUAUAUUCUUAUAUUCUACAGCUAAUUUCUAGCAAAGGAAUUAGCUUUAGGGAAAGCACACCCUGUUGUUGUAUACGGCCUCUCUAGAAGUGUGAUCUUUGAAAAGUACUUCUUAAGCGUAUAUUAGUAUAUUAAUAUAUUUCCCUUAACUUGAUUAUAAAUUGGAGAAGACAUGAAUUUGCAUCGCAGAGAAAGAAGCCAUGAUAUCAUCAUCAAGACGAUAUUGUAACGCUUACAUCUUGGCGCAUUAUGCCACUGUUUGACGUGCCUGAUUUUCUGUAAAAUAUUGUUCAAAUGUUCCUUCAUCAGAAAUAAAUUGGGGAAAAUGAACGCAUAACUGCUGAGAAAUUACUGAAAUAUUUUACACAACCCCUGAACUUGAGUCCAAUACUCUCGGCGUAGUAUGCAGGAGGUGAGUCAACAUUCGUUUCAGUUCUGUCGCAGAGGCUUGCCUUCGGUUGGUUACGGGACAAAGCAUUGGCUAGAUCCUGAGCUUCAUUGUUGGUUUGAUCAACAAUGAUACGUCGUCCAACACCUGCCGUGGCCGGUUUAUUCCAAAAAGUGGUCUGGGGUACAAUGGGACAGUUCGUUUGGGGUACAAUGGGACUGUUUUUUUGGGGCACAUUGGGACAGAACCCACGUCCCACGACCUUCCAAUCCUUCUAGUCGGGACCUUCAAAUAUGAAAAAGAAAUUGACCGUUUGCCGCCAAAUAUGAAAAAGAAAUUCGUUCCAAAUAUUCGUUGAAAGAGAUAUCAGGCUCUUUUUCUUCUUCAUCAGAAAAAAUUCCGAAUUCUACAUUAUUCAUCUGAAGCAAUAGAACAAGAAUUACUGCUACGAAAAAGUUCAAAAUUUUCUCAAACAAUUGCGAGAGAACCAAAGCUCCGCACUAUAUUACGUUCGUGGAGAAUUUGGUUUCACUGAGCCAAAAACAUAUUAUGUUGCCUUAUUAAUAACGAAGAAAAGAGACGAAAAUGACGCAUACGAAAUAUCUUACUUGGUUCUUAGAGAAAAAUCAGCUCAUUUUAUAUUUCUAGGUGCCGCUGAUCUCGUAUCAGUCCGUAUAGGAAACAUUAUAGUCAUUCUUGGCAACCCUACUGAAUGAAAUUAUAAUAUGAAAUUUGUCUAUGAUUUUUAUGAUAUCUUAGUUAGGUAAACUGUCCCAAUGUACCACCAUGGUCUGUCCCACAGUACCCCGGGCCGAGGUACUGGGACAUUUUAUUUCAUUUUUUUAUAUCUAAUUUCUGUAAACUGUUCUGAUCAUUGCUUAUGGAUUUAAAAAUGUAACCAAGGAUGUGGUGUUUAGCUUUAUUUUGCAUCUCGCAUUUUAAAACGGAAAUUAGUUGUUAUAUUUUUCAUUUAUUUUUUAUUAAUUUUACCCAACUUUCCCCCAAUUCUUCGUUGUAUGUGUGUUAGAUAUUGACUGGUUCUAUCCUAUGUAUUCAUUACUUUUUUACAUGGUAAUGAAAAGGAACUGAAUCCUCGUUUGUUUCUGCGAUUAUGUAUACAUUCUAGCAGAUGUAAGGUGUGCGGAUUCACUACGCGUGAGAAUUAUUUGUAUUGAAAGAACUAUUUUUAAUUCUAGUUUUCAUUUACUUCCAGAACCAAGAUCCUGAACUGUGUUCUACAGAGGGUCUAGCUUCCGGACAGUCAUUGUCAUUGAGGUUGCUCAUCUAACACUGAACUGAAGAGCUACUGCACUGCCGCACCAGCAGUGCAACUUGGUGGUUGACCGCCACACGACAGCUGCUGACGCUCAGCGACAAACUACAAGACUACAGAACCAACACAACGAAGAAAUAAGAUUGAAAAUUACAAGCAUGAUUGAGAUCAUUAGGUUUUGCAUGCUCUUCGUUAUAUUUCGGACACCAUUAAAUACGAAUUUGUCCAAUAAAAGACCGUCGAACACACGUACGUUGAUGUAAAAUUUCUUCAAGAUGAUGCGCGUUAACGAUUUUGGUAAACCUUAUGAGUUUUUAAGCCAUGAACUAAUGUAAACGAAAUCAUGAGAACCGUGAGGAAUCUACUUCAUUAACUUUUUAGCGCCUGUCAAUUCUCUGUUCAUUAAUAGCUCACAUUAAAACAGCUUAUAGUUGAGUUUAUUCGGAGAUAAAUUGCAAAAAAUGAGCGACCGACUUUGAGGAUAAACAGACAGGCAGUGCUCAUUCGACCGCCCGUGAUCUCCUCGCCCCUCGGAUGUUGCCUGUGAGGAUCGCGAGAAAUACCGAAUACCAAGAGACAUGAAUGGACGAGCUAAAAGUAUGGAUUAAUUGCAUUUGCGUAUUAAGAUUGAAUUCCUCAUUGAUAGCAAGGCAAUAAAUUUGAACUCGAGAUAUAAGGCUCAGGAUUUUUUUUUUUAUCUUCAAAUUGGUUUGGCAGAAGGCUAAGAAAUAAAUGCCCAACUCCAUUUCCCGCACCCGGUACAGCUUGUGAUGGCGAGGUAAGGCCAAUGCCUCCAUAUGUAGUCGCGUCCAGACCGCGUCCACUUGAAGUGCCACGCCGGACCGUCAGGUUCUGUACCAGCGCGUGUGGCAGGUGGAGUACAAGGCAGCCGUCAGGAGUGCGCGAGGCCAGGUCAGAGAUAGUCUGAAGCUGCUAAUUGGUCAGAGAUAGUCUGAACUAUCCCAGGUCAGAGGUAGUCUGAACUAUCCCAGGUCAGAGAUAGUCUGAACUAUCUCAGGUCAGAGAUAGUCUGAAGCUGCUAAAUGAGGACGAGCAAACCAUUCUUUCUUCUUCUGAAGAUGAAUAAUUAAAGGAAACGGGAACGAAAUGGCCUCUUGACCAUUAAAUUGAACUCAAAAUAGAAAAAAUCUUGAGAAGACACUGAUACCACAAUACAAAAUUGUGCCGUUGAUCAAAUUAAUUCUAACCGAUGUAUGCGCAGACAGAACGUAGCUGAAGUUACAGAAAAUUAUAAUUUACAGCCACUUCAGAAUAUUAAAAUUAAGAUUAAUUUUUUUUAAUUAAAUCAGUAAAUGCUCACGAGCCAAACUUUCCUUUAUAACUUCAUGCGUCGGAAGCUUCCCUUACGUUUGUCUUCCAGUUAUUUCAGCAACAAAUUCAAGCAAUCCUGUUCCGGGUCGACACUCUUACUUGAUAGUUCUCCGGUCAUGCCAAAAAUACACACAAGGUAUUUUUUAAUCGUAAAUCUAAUUUAAAAGUAAAAAAACGAGGGGCAGUAAACAUAUGUAUUUUCCAGCUCCGGUAAAAUUCCAGCACGCUGCAACACGUAACAAUGUUUGCAGUGGCAGAACUGGUCUGCAACUGCAGUGCUGUGAUUGCUGCGGAGAUGAUGCCGGAGUACAAUGGAGUAAAGUCAAAGCCAAAGAGGGUGAGGAGAAAAAUAUUGUGCAAGAAAAGGAAGACAUCUGAGAUGGCUUGGUGUUUUUAGUAUGCUCGAGUCUGGGAUAAUAAAUAGCUGAUUUGGUUGAGCUAGGUAAUGUUUUUAUCAGAAGUAUACAACAACACCAAGAAUGACAACACUGAAACAAGUGUUAGACAUUCGGCGAAAUAGAACCAUACUGACAACACAUCAUUUAGUUAGAAUGUAAGAGCAUAUUACAAGACUUGUUGGGAAUGCUGUGCAUAGAAAAUAUACUGUACAUGGUCAGUGCAAUAGUAAUUAAUUUUUCGAAUAUUUAUUGAGAUGAUGAGAAGAUUGAAUACCUGCAAUUUAUCGAAUGUACGAGAAGAGAAAACGAUGGCAUGGGGAUAGAGCAACAUGACAAUUUUCUAACGUCCGUUGACUCUUUAAGACGGCGAGUUGUUUGAUGAAACACCAAAACCAUCGUAAGUUUUUCAUGAACGGAAAUGUGUGUGUUCCUCAUGCAACCAAAUAUUACGCGUAUUUUUCAGGAAUACCGAACUGCGAAACGAAUAGCUUUUAUUUCAGUCUACCAAUGUGUCUUUGUUAAAAAACCUCACAGGUGAGAGCUGAGUUCCGAGCGAGUCUUCAACAUAUGGGCUGAGGGAAACAUCUAUCUCAAAGUGACCAUUAUAAAAACGGUAAUAGAUAUGACUCCGCUAUAGGCAAAUAUUAUCAUUGUAAAUAAUAAUAUAAAAAUGUAGUGCAAAUAUCGAUUAUAUUUGAGGUUUUGAAAUAUCUGCAUUUCAAUUUGCGUUCUGAAGCAAGUGUAGUAGCCCUUGGAGUCCAAGUUAUUUACCUUUAUUAAGUAAUUUUUUCAAUAUCUUCCGAUUUAUCGAAACAAAUUUUGGCAACUUGGGCCGACCACGAAUGUUGAGGCGAAAGAAGAAAACCACGAAAUUGAUUUAAUUCUUUAUCAAUAUUCUUGACCGUUGAAGAUAUUUGUGCUAUAUUUAGGUUGAAAUUUGUCAUGGAUAGCUAUUAAUGAUUGGUUUUUAAUUCUCUUGACGCCUAUUUCAUGAUUGGACUUACUGUAUAAAUUUUCUGUAACCUAAACGAGUAGUAAAUUUUGUUGUGAAUGCUG